UACGAAGGGGGGCUAGCGUUGCUCGGAAUCACUGGGCGUAAAGCGCACGUAGGCGGAUCUUUAAGUCAGGGGUGAAAUCCUGGAGCUCAACUCCAGAACUGCCUUUGAUACUGGGGAUCUCGAGUCCGGGAGAGGUGAGUGGAACUCCCGAGUGUAGAGGUGAAAUUCGUAGAUAUUCGGAAGAACACCAGUGGCGAAGGCGGCUCACUGGCCCGGUACUGACGCUGAGGUGCGAAAGCGUGGGGAGCAAACAGG
rnacentral:rRNA from 1 species